UUGACAGACUGCAGUCCUUGGAGGACGAGGGGAGCAUUACCAGAGGCAAACAGUAAGACCUGUCUGCUGACAUAGACCAGUUAAAGGGCAAAAAAGCUGUGUUGGAGGACUCAAAGCGGCAGCAAAUUCUAAGGCUCUGCGGAGUUCCUGAAGACAUCACAGAAACAGUGUUGCCGCACUAUCUUCGAAGGCUAUUAAACGCUAUGAUCUUACCUUCCAAGGCAAAAGCCACACAGUUCGACGACUACUACAAGGUCCCUAAGUCACCCAAAGCUAAGGCCGGGGUGCCACGGGACC